AGACCAGCUAUAGAAAGUAAUCAACACCAUUAAAACAAAUUCAGAAGACAGAAGGAUCGUUAUGUGUGGCUGGAACCCUAAAGAUUUGCCGCUCAUGGCUCUUCCUUCAUUCCACGCUCUUUGUCAGCUCUAUGUGUGCGAUGGUGAGAUGUCCUGUCAGCUUUAUCAGCGCUCUGGUGACAUGGGGCUUGGGAGUACGUUUCAGUAUAACCUAUGAACUUCUAAUGUACAUGAUAACCCACAUCACAGGACUAAAGCCUGAGGAUUUUACCCACAUCUACAUCAAUCACAGAGGCUCUUAAAAUACAG